rnacentral:tRNA from 1 species
GCUCCCCUGGGCUAACUGGCAACGCCACGAGGCUUAAGACUUCGUGAAUCUCGGUUCGAAUCCGAGGGGGAGUACCA